CUACGGGAUGCAGCAGUGGGGAAUAUUGGACAAUGGGGGAAACCCUGAUCCAGCAAUGCCGCGUGUGUGAAGAAGGCCUGCGGGUUGUAAAGCACUUUCGGUUGGGAGGACUGCUUCUAGCACUAAUAUUGUUGGAAGUUGACGUUACCUUCAGAAGAAGCACCGGCUAACUCCGUGCCAGCAGCCGCGGCAAUGACGGAGGGUGCAAGCGUUAAUCGGAAUUACUGGGCGUAAAGCGCGCGUAGGCGGCUAGAUCAGUCGGGUGUGAAAGCCCCGGGCUUAACCUGGGAACUGCAUCCGAUACUGUCUAGCUUGAGUACAGGAGAGGAGAGUGGAAUUCCACAUGUAGCGGUGAAAUGCGUAGAUAUGUGGAGGAACACCAAUGGCGAAGGCAGCUCUCUGGCCUGAUACUGACGCUGAGGUGCGAAAGCGUGGGGAGCAAACAGGAUUAGAUACCCUCGUAGUC
rnacentral:rRNA from 1 species